AAACGAGAAAACGAGCGCGCAGAGAGGGAUCGAAAGAGCUUUUCGUCUCCGAGUCCCCGUGACGUAGCAAGAACAGAAGAGAGCAAGUGUGUUGGAGGGGGAAAUUGUCAUGCGAGGAAUUGAGAAGGCGUCCUAAAUGUCCUCUCCGU
ensembl:ncRNA K08E5.10 ncRNA